GUGGUGCUCCUGGUUUACUGGUGAUAAAUGACAAUUAAGGUAGCCAUUCUGAACACAUCUACAUAUUAACCAGGAUUAAUAGGAGUCGUUGCUUCUUUCAUUACAAACUAAUUUUAGUCCAAUGUCAUUUAUCAUAUUGAUGAUAAAAGUGUGGCACCAUAUCGAUGGCUUCCUUGAGUGGUCCAUUAUAUUUAAAUUGAUAUCAUUGUUUUUUUGUCGUAUAAUUUUUCUGUUAAAUACAUAUAAUGCGCGAACUAUUAGAGUUUCAGUAUACUCACAUUUGGACUUCAAUACGUACUGUCUUUCAUCAUUCUUUUGCUACCAUUGUCCUAGUUAAAAAUUUCUUUUGCUACCAUUAUCUUUGCAUCUUGCCCAAGCAUUGAGCAUAUAUUCAUAUAAGUCCAAAUGUGACAGGGUGAUUCUAGUUGAAGAGGUACAAAAAGCUAUUGAAGACUGCGGAAUGUUGGCAUUUGUGUAAUGGUUAUAAGGAGAGAUAACUAGCAUACAGCAGAAGCAAUUUGCCAUGAAAUACUUGUAUAUGGACCUCAUCAAGAUAUCCGUUCGACAGGAAGAGAAUCUAUUGAUGUUCGGGAUCAGAAAAACCAUUUGAGGCAAAGUGGAGGGUCUCUAUUUUCUGAGGCUGAACUAUAACAAAAUUCGUGUAGCAUAUGCAGUGGGAUGAAAGUACUCAAUGAUCUAACUGUUGAAAAUGAAAAAAUGGCUUCUUGGUGUUGCUACUUCUUCAGAGUGAAACCAUAUUCGUUAGCCCAACACUGAUGAUAGAAUCCCAGUGAAACCAUUUUUUUUUCAAACAACCUGUUUGUGUUUUUUGACAUCUUAUUGGUAAAAUGUAAUGUUUAUGUAGAAUUCCUAAAGGAUAUUCUUGUCGAUUGAUCAAAGGUUCUUGGCAUGCUCAUUUUUAUAUGGACUUAGUUAUCUUCAGAUGUGAAUUUUAGUUUAUAGUAAUUACUAUCACUCGAGGCAAGGAAGAGACUGAGUAAUGCUCCUUUUUAGUAAUGCAGUUUAUAGUAAUGCAAUUAGUAUACUACUUGAAAUGCCUUGUCUUUUGAGAUACAAGACAUACUUAAACAAUGUAACAAGACUAUCUUUGUGGUCAAAUUGCUUGCGGUAAAAGACUUGUAGAGUUGAAAAAUCCUAUUCAAAAUUUUCCUAAAUCCCUCCUAUAGAACUUGUAAGUUGUGUCUGAAUACUAAAAAAGCUUUGUUGAAUUGUUGGUUGGUAAACCGCCUUCG
rnacentral:lncRNA from 1 species